AUUGAACGCUGGCGGCAUGCUUUACACAUGCAAGUCGAACGGCAGCGCGGGGGCAACCCUGGCGGCGAGUGGCGAACGGGUGAGUAAUGUAUCGGAACGUAUCCUGUAAUGGGGGAUAACCAGUCGAAAGAUUGGGUAAUACCGCAUACGCACGAGAGUGGAAAGUAGGGGAUCGCAAGACCUUACGUUAUAGGAGCGGCCGAUAUCUGAUUAGCUAGUUGGUGGGGUAAAGGCCUACCAAGGCGACGAUCAGUAGCUGGUCUGAGAGGACGACCAGCCACACUGGGACUGAGACACGGCCCAGACUCCUACGGGAGGCAGCAGUGGGAAUUUGGACAAUGGGCGAAAGCCUGAUCCAGCCAUGCCGCGUGCAGGAAGAAGGCCUUCGGGUUGUAAACUGCUUUAGUCUAGGAAAAGGGUAGCGAGGUUAAUACCCUACGUGCUUUGAUGGUACUGGAAGAAUAAGCACCGGCUAACUACGUGCCAGCAGCCGCGGUAAAGUACGUA
rnacentral:rRNA from 1 species